AAAUAAGAUAAACGAUGAUAAUUUUUUCGUCAUAAAGAUUGCCACGCAUGAUUCAAAUCCCCUCUAUUCAAAUUGUAACUAUCGCACUUUCAUAAGAUUCAAAUACAAAUUAAAAUUUGAAUAUUAUGAAAAUGCAACAUUUAGGGGGCAUUUGGAUUAACGAAUCUGUCAAUCCAACGUAAGUCAGGUGCAGUGGUGUUUGAGUUUUCCUAAAGUAUGAUUAUUUUUUUGUUGUUUGUUUUGACGUAACUUGUACAGUCUGACAAUUAAAUUCAAUUACUUCUUCUGUUUAUUUUGAUGUAACUUGGUGUUGGUAAAAUUAGUUUUUUGAGUUCCGUUGUUUGUUUUGAUGUAAGUAAGUUGAUCCCGUUAUCUCCUAAAUAUAGUGAUAAAUUUACCGCUAUAAAAUUUAACCUAUUAUCUAAUUAAAAUUUUUUUAUUAUUUAAAGAUAAUCCUAAUUUAUUAUAAAAAAGAUAAUUCUAACCAAUUAUAAAGAAGUAGAGUUUAGAUUUUACGGUUUAAUAAAUUUUUUAGAGAAGGUUGAGUGUGGCAUAAGUCGAGUUUGACAAUUUAUAGGAGAAAGUCGAGAGUAGGUGAAGUAGAGGUCUAACAUAAUUUGAAUUACACUAUAUUUUUUGACUUAUACCAAAUUAAAUAAUAAAAUUGAUGAAAUUUAAGUUCCAUCAGUCCACUUAAACCAAAACAAA
rnacentral:lncRNA from 1 species